rnacentral:lncRNA from 1 species
GCUGAGGAUCCACAUGGGUGGCAGAGACCUGUGCUGGCCCAACACAGGGCAGGACACCAGGGUGAGCACAAACAUCUAGAAGUUCUGGAACCUCUGUGCCAUAUGAAACAGGACCAGCAUCUGGGAGCACACCCCCAGCUAAUGGCCCUCCUGGAGGAGGGACCCAGCCAGGAGCGCUCAGCAGAGCUCCCUCCUGAACAGUCUCCCUGAACCAGUGAUUUCAAUUAGAAGACCAUUACUAUGAAACUCUAGCCAGC